rnacentral:rRNA from 1 species
GCGAAGCUGACGGAUGCAGACGCGUGAGGGAGGAAGGCUUUUGGGUUGUAAACCUCUUUUCUCUGGGAAGAAGAAAUGACGGUACCAGAGGAAUAAGCAUCGGCUAACUCCGUGCCAGCAGCCGCGGUAAGACGGAGGAUGCAAGCGUUAUCCGGAAUUAUUGGGCGUAAAGCGUCCGCAGGUGGCCAACCAAGUCUGCCGUCAAAGACCGCAGCUUAACUGCGGGAAGGCGGUGGAAACUGGUAGGCUAGAGGGCAGUAGGGGUAGAGGGAAUUCCCAGUGUAGCGGUGAAAUGCGUAGAGAUUGGGAAGAACACCGGUGGCGAAAGCGCUCUACUGGACUGCAACUGACACUAAGGGACGAAAGCUAGGGGAGCGAAAGGGAUUAGAUACCCCUGUAGUCCUAGCCGUAAACGAUGGAUACUAGGUGUUGCCUGUAUCGACCCGGGCAGUGCCGUAGCCAACGCGUUAAGUAUCCCGCCUGGGGAGUACGCACGCAAGUGUGAAACUCAAAGGAAUUGACGGGGGCCCGCAACAAGCGGUGGAGUAUGUGGUUUAAUUC